AUUGAACGCUGGCGGCAGGCCUAACACAUGCAAGUCGAGCGAGCGGCGGACGGGUGAGUAAUGUCUGGGAAACUGCCUGAUGGAGGGGGAUAACUACUGGAAACGCUAGCUAAAACCGAAUACCAUCAGAAGUGGCCAGAGGGGAUUAGAUAGUAGGUGGGGUAACGGCUCACCUAGGCGAGGAUCCCUAGCUGGUCUGAGAGGAGGACCAGCCACACUGGAACUGAGACACGGUCCAGACUCCUACGGGAGGCAGCAGUGGGGAAUAUUGCACAAUGGGCGCAAGCCUGAUGCAGCCAUGCCGCGUGUGUGAAGAAGGCCUUCGGGUUGUAAAGCACUUUCAGCGGGGAGUCGUUACCCGCAGAAGAAGCACCGGCUAACUCCGUGCCAGCCGCCGCGGUAAUAC
rnacentral:rRNA from 1 species